rnacentral:rRNA from 1 species
CAGUAGCCACGGUAAUACAGAUGGUGCAAGCGUUAAUCGGAAUUACUGGGCGUAAAGCGCGCGUAGGUGGUUUGUUAAGUUGGAUGUGAAAUCCCCGGGCUCAACCUGGGAACUGCAUCCAAAACUGGCAAGCUAGAGUAUGGUAGAGGGUGGUGGAAUUUCCUGUGUAGCGGUGAAAUGCGUAGAUAUAGGAAGGAACACCAGUGGCGAAGGCGACCACCUGGACUGAUACUGACACUGAGGUGCGAAAGCGUGGGGAGCAAACAGGAUUAGAUACCCCAGUAUCCCUGUCUCUUAUACA